GUCCUCUACUAACCAUAAUUAUGUCUAUUAACUUUGCGAAAGGUGUUAAUCUCGGACAUUUACAUGAACAAAAAUAGAAAAUGAAACUUCCAGUCAAAUGAAAAAUUCGAAAUGUAAAAGACCUUAAGCUUUCCGAAUAAAGGAAAACGAUAACAGUCCACAAAUAUAUAUUUAAAACAUGAAAAAGACAACACAAAUUUCAUCCGAAAUCGGAUGUAAACUGAUAUACCCAAC
rnacentral:lncRNA from 1 species